GAUGAACGCUGGCGGCGUGCUUAACACAUGCAAGUCGAACGGUGAAGGCGGAGCUUGCUCUGCUGGAUCAGUGGCGAACGGGUGAGUAACACGUGAGCAAUCUGCCCCUGACUCUGGGAUAAGCGCUGGAAACGGCGUCUAUACUGGAUACGAGCUGCGAAGGCAUCUUCAGCAGCUGGAAAGAACUUCGGUCAGGGAUGAGCUCGCGGCCUAUCAGCUUGUUGGUGAGGUAACGGCUCACCAAGGCGUCGACGGGUAGCCGGCCUGAGAGGGUGACCGGCCACACUGGGACUGAGACACGGCCCAGACUCCUACGGGAGGCAGCAGUGGGGAAUAUUGCACAAUGGGCGAAAGCCUGAUGCAGCAACGCCGCGUGAGGGACGACGGCCUUCGGGUUGUAAACCUCUUUUAGCAGGGAAGAAGCGAAAGUGACGGUACCUGCAGAAAAAGCGCCGGCUAACUACGUG
rnacentral:rRNA from 1 species